rnacentral:rRNA from 1 species
CCCUUAGAUGUCCCGGGCCGCACGCGCGCUACACUGAGUGUCUGAGAUACGAGUCUGCCUGGUCCGGCAAGGUCUAGGUAAUCGCUAAAAGACACAUCAUGCUUGGGAUAGAUUAUUGCAAAUAUUAAUCUUGAACGAGGAAUUCCUAGUAAGCGCAAGUCAACAGCUUGCGUUGAUUACGUCCCUGCCCUUUGUACACACCGCCCGUCGCUACUACUGAUUGGAUGUUUAAGCGAGGUUCUCGAACUGCUAGCGACUUAGCUUCGGUGAGGUCGCAGUGUGGGAAGUGAACCUAGCUUUGGUGUCUAGAGGAAGUAAAAGUCGUAACA